rnacentral:ncRNA from 1 species
UUGCCCAACGGGGCUGUGGAUAGCUGCUUUUUAAUUCUU